rnacentral:rRNA from 1 species
UACGGGGGGGGCAAGCGUUGUUCGGAAUUACUGGGCGUAAAGGGCUCGUAGGCGGCCAACUAAGUCAGACGUGAAAUCCCCAGGCUCAACCUGGGAACUGCGUCUGAUACUGGAUGGCUUGAAUUCGGGAGAGGGAUGCAGAAUUCCAGGUGUAGCGGUGAAAUGCGUAGAUACCUGGAGGAAUACCGGUGGCGAAGGCGGCAUCCUGGACCGACAUUGACGCUGAGGAGCGAAAGCAUGGGGAGCGAACAGG